rnacentral:lncRNA from 1 species
AUGUGGAGGAAAGAAACCCAUGGACGCGGAGCAACCGCCCAACCGCCGCCGGACGCUCUCAACUUUGCCAGGCUGAGCUCUCUGCAUCCCGCCCCGCGUCACCCCCGCGCCUCCCGCCUGCGGUCGGCUCGCGGGCGGCCCCCUCGCAGCCCCCGCGGCGCGCCCCCCGCCGCCGCCGCCGCCUCUGCGCCCCCCGCCGCGCCGCAGCCUCUCCCAUCGCACGCUCGGGCUCCCGGGCUCCCGGGCUCCCGGGCUCCCGCCACAAAGGCAGCGAGCGGAGCCCGCGGUGACAGGCCUCCGGCCUCCCGCCGCCCGGCGCGGACCGCACGGGCUGGGUCCCCUCCGGGGGCCGGCGCGAGGGGUUCGGAUCCGAGGCCGCCGGUGGCGCCUGUCCUCGCCGCGCGCACACCCGCGCGCACACCCGCGCGCACACACGCCCCGCUCCGCUCUCCGCAGAAAAAGUCAGCCGCAGCGCUUCCCGGCGCACGCAGGGUGCCCGCAGCCCGCCAAAGGGCAGCUCCUGGCCGGCUCGCGCCCCCGCGCCCCCGCGCCCCCGCGCCCCCGCGCCCCGGGGUCCCCGCAGCCGCUCACCUGGCCCUGGCGGGGCGCUCGGGCAGAGGACCGGGGGUUGGCCCUCGCCUCGGCCGGGGCUCGCCUCCCCACCCCCAGUCCGGGUCCCGGCGCUGCGCCGCGCUCGCUCCGGCCGCCUCCGCCGAGCUGCUAGCGCCGCCGGUGGCUGGCGUCUCUCUGGCAGGCGAGCUCGCCGCGCGCUCAGUUCCCCGGGGCGGAGCGAGGCGGCGGCCGCCGCGGCCGGAGGCGGAUUCCUCAGGUGCUGCCCCUCCCGCUUCCCCAGAACCUCCGCGCCGGGGACCCCGCGCCCCCUCCCCCCGCCCCGCCUCCCGGCCUCCCGCGGCCCUCGCGCCCGCGAGUGGCCUUGGGGCCCCCCGCCCUCCCGGAGAGCGCUGGGCGCACGUCCCCCACCGCCACCCGCACACCCCACACCCCCACACCCCACACCCCCUGCCAGGCCGCCCCCCCCAGUCCACCGUGCUCACGCCUCCAUUUCCAAACUCCACGGCACAAAUGAUGUGCGUGGCCACCGUGGGGUGUGCAGGGCGCUGGUGUGCAGGGGGAUCUUCCGGGAAAGAGGACCCCCCGCCCCCCGUGCGGCUGGCGCGCUCAGCCAGGAAGAAAAAUUUUCUCGCGGACCCCGCGUUCAUUCAAGUGCUCUCGCUUCACUGCGCGAUCGCUUUCUGUGUCCGCAGGACGGCGGCUAAAGGGCCCUAA